rnacentral:rRNA from 1 species
UCUUUUCCUUGUGUGCCAGCCGCCGCGGUAAUACGUAGGGGGCUAGCGUUAUCCGGAAUUACUGGGCGUAAAGGGUGCGUAGGUGGUUUCUUAAGUCAGAGGUGAAAGGCUACGGCUCAACCGUAGUAAGCCUUUGAAACUGGGAAACUUGAGUGCAGGAGAGGAGAGUGGAAUUCCUAGUGUAGCGGUGAAAUGCGUAGAUAUUAGGAGGAACACCAGUUGCGAAGGCGGCUCUCUGGACUGUAACUGACACUGAGGCACGAAAGCGUGGGGAGCAAACAGG